rnacentral:rRNA from 1 species
UGCAGUCGAGGGGUAUAGUAGCAAUACUAGAGACCGGCGCACGGGUGCGUAACGCGUAUGCAAUCUACCUUUUACAGAGGGAUAGCCCAGAGAAAUUUGGAUUAAUACCUCAUAGCAUAGCAGCUUCGCAUGAAGCCACUAUUAAAGUCACAACGGUAAAAGAUGAGCAUGCGUCCCAUUAGCUAGUUGGUAAGGUAACGGCUUACCAAGGCAACGAUGGGUAGGGGUCCUGAGAGGGAGAUCCCCCACACUGGUACUGAGACACGGACCAGACUCCUACGGGAGGCAGCAGUGAGGAAUAUUGGACAAUGGGCGCAAGCCUGAUCCAGCCAUGCCGCGUGCAGGAUGACGGUCCUAUGGAUUGUAAACUGCUUUUGCACAGGAAGAAACAACAUUACGUGUAAUGUCUUGACGGUACUGUGAGAAUAAGGAUCGGCUAACUCCGUGCCAGCAGCCGCGGUAAUACGGAGGAUCCAAGCGUUAUCCGGAAUCAUUGGGUUUAAAGGGUCCGUAGGCGGUUUAGUAAGUCAGUGGUGAAAGCCCAUCGCUCAACGGUGGAACGGCCAUUGAUACUGCUAGACUUGAAUUAUUAGGAAGUAACUAGAAUAUGUAGUGUAGCGGUGAAAUGCUUAGAGAUUACAUGGAAUACCAAUUGCGAAGGCAGGUUACUACUAAUGGAUUGACGCUGAUGGACGAAAGCGUGGGUAGCGAACAGGAUUAGAUACCCUGGUAGUCCACGCCGUAAACGAUGGAUACUAGCUGUUGGGAGCAAUCUCAGUGGCUAAGCGAAAGUGAUAAGUAUCCCACCUGGGGAGUACGUUCGCAAGAAUGAAACUCAAAGGAAUUGACGGGGGCCCGCACAAGCGGUGGAGCAUGUGGUUUAAUUCGAUGAUACGCGAGGAACCUUACCA